rnacentral:tRNA from 1 species
CGUUCCGUGCCAAACAUCGUCGGCUCCGGGCACAGCUUCCUAAUCUGUAGGUCACAGGUUCGAUUCCUGUCGGGAUCACCA